UUGUGAGACCCUGUCUUUAAAAACAAAAAAGAAAAAAAAAAUGUCUAAAGUUACCCUUGGGGGUUGUAUUCUUUACCAAAAACUUGGUGUUAGAUACACUGUAUAGACUUAGCAAUAUGUUAUAAAAGCGAAGAAGUAUUACUGCAAGAGUCUACUAUGAUGUAAAUUGCUCAAGAUUGUGACCCAUGCUCUUUAAAUGCUCAUAAAUCAGCAUGCACAUUCAUUAAACAAUAUUUUAUAGGUACACACAAUAAUAUAAUAUCACGCUACAUAUUACAAAUUGGAUCUAAAACAAGUUCAUUGGCUAUUUUAGUACUAAACCUUAAAUGGGCAGCAGUUUUGUUUGCUCCGGACUUAGAACAUAAGAACAAAAUUCAGGACAACCUGAAUAGCUCAGAUUUUUUGAAAAACCUCUUAUCUUCUUUGAACAGCUUCCUUUGCUCCAAUUAAACUUCUCAGUAGCAACUGGAAGCCAUCAGAAUGAUUCCCUAGACCUUAAAGCUACGUCAAAGUACUGUAAUUUGUCUACUUGACAGUUUAUCAGCUAGAUCAUAGCAGUAAUUCAAGAAAGACGUACUGACUUCCAUUAUGUUUUAGGCAUUAUGCUAGGAACUUUAUGCAUAUCAUUUUGUUUGAUUUUAACAGCAACUCCACGAAAUAAGUUAUAACAAUAAAUCAUCAUUUUAGAUAUUGAGAAACCACAGAAAGAAAAGUAAAAUAAUUUACUUUUCCAAGGCCACAUCAAUGGCGAAACCAGAAUUUGAACCCAUGUACUUUACCAUUGAGCUGCCUGCCUGUCCUCUAAGGAACUGCUGAGCCUGUUACAUAGAGAGACUUGACGGUGUAUAGAUAGCCGCUUCAAGAGAGAAAAAAGGCAGGAUGAUGUGGUGCAGAGGUUUUAAACCAGGCAUCUGUACAAGAAUUGAAAGGUGGAACUAUUGCAUUGUAUUUAUUGAGUAUGGGUAUUCGAUCUCCCUACUCCACACACUAGCCAAGGUGAUAAAAGGGUCUAUGAUGAGGGAUUAGGAAAUAUCUGCUAUGUUUAUUUCCUAACCAAAUCACAAGAUUAACAUCUGCCUCUUCUUUCUCUUACAUCUAGUUUUCCUUUGGAUGAGAAAAAUGAGCCUCAUUCUGCUUCAAUGGCAGAGAUCAAAUAAAAGACUUUUGUUUUUUUGCCACCAGAUAUGUUGUUAUCUGUGCUUACAGAACUGAAAAGCACACAUCAAAGGAGCAUUCCCUUGAAGAGACAGCUUGGGCAUUGUACCCCGUUCACUACUGUUGGCAACUCCAUGCUUCCAAGAACUAGUGAGCUGAAGAAUUUAGCACUUCUAAUAGAUUAACCAAGCAAAAACUAUGAAUUGAAGGAAAAGGGAACACAGAGAAGCAACCUGGUUUGGUCAAAGGCCUUGCAGUUGGUUAGAGAUAGAACUGGGGUGUUCUGACCCAUUUCCAGUUUUUCGUCCUCUGUACUGCUCUGCUAGCUGUGGAAGUGAAAUGUGCUGUAACUUGGCUGCCAAAGAAAUCCCAGCUGAAAGGUAACCAAAGGAGAGGAGUGUUUUGAAGCAGCAUGGCUGAAAUCCAGUUAAAAGUUAAAAUCGUACUGGGCAAUUUCUCCUUAAUUGACAACAGGAAUUGCUGUCACUGCCCUGUCUAAACACUUUGUAAAUGGCAGGGAUGAUAGCAAGAGCUCGUGGUGAAUACUUCCUAUAGGAGCAAAGAUUGCUUUGGCUGGAUUCUGCUGCAGCAGUGUUCUGGCGGUGAAGAGUCUGUAGUAAGACAGUUGGAGGCAGUAACUGUUUUCUAACAACCACCUCAGGUGGUUUUGGCACCUAAUUCUUUGGCACUGUCUAGGGAAGCUCUUUAUGCGAGUUCAUGCUACUUGUCAAGUCUACCUGCGUAUCUAAUUUUGCUGGGGAAUCUGAUACUGCCCUUCAAAUAUUAUAGUUCACCUCAGUGGAACCCAGUGUUUGCCCUGCACAGUGUUCAAGGAGUCCUAUCGUCUCUGACAAGCAAACAGCAAAGACAGGUUUUAAAAAACGGCCCCUGUUUUUGCAGCUCUUCCAUCUUGGUUCCGUGGUGUUUGAAAUCAGAAUGUGGUCUUGAGUUAAUGACACAAGGAAACACUUGGAUGCUUGUAUUGUCUACUUGGUUUUCAUGAACCUCAUAUGGACUGGCUUUAUCCUGUUUCAGAGUCCACAGCUCUGUAUUUUCCUCUCCACUUCCUGUGCAGGCCUUCCUCUGGUUUGUGGGCUGCGCACUUCAUCUUGCUCCUUUAAGGGGCACACCCAAGCUGAGGGCGAAAGAGACUUUUUACAGCUUCUGCUACCUGCUUAUCAUCCAAUCCCAAUCUCAGGUUUUCUUUCCCUAUUUUAAAAACCUGAAUAGCUCUUUUCCCACUUGUCUAUAACUUUUUCUUUCAAUUCUCUGCUCUUCACAGUAAUUAAACUGGAGUUUGGCAGCCUCCUCCUACUGGAACUGAUGACUUAUUCUGGAGGGUUAGUUAAUAAGUCAUGAAGAUCAAGUCUUCAUAUAGGGAAGUAUGAAAGCUUGGUGCAGGUGAAUACUAAAGAAGACCCCAAAUUUCAAGGAAGGUUGGAGAUUUCUGUGGAGACCUCCAAAAAUGCUUCCUUUAUCCAGAACUACCUUCCAGCUGACAUCUUCCUACCACUCUCCUCCUUCCCAGUGUAAGAGAAUGCAAAUAUGUACUGAUGUUUGAAGCAAGAACAUUCAAGAAUUUUCCUAAUAAUAUAACUUCUAAUGGAAAUAUGGUAUACUGGUAUGGAGACUAUAAAGAAGAAAUAAAGCAACACAUGUUCAUUUUAGACCUGAUAGCUGCCUUUUAUUCCUUAGCCCCUCCUUGAUGUCUUGUAGACUGUCAUUAGCUAAUUGUCAUAGUGACCAAAAGAAAAAAUAAGGAUUUUUAGCUGGUACAUACAUAACAGAAGAGGAGAUGGUUUAGUAAACAAGCACAGACUUUGGAAUCAGGCAGCUCUGGAUUUGAAAACAAAGUUAAAGCACGACUAGCUAUAUGACCUGGGAUAAACUACUACUUACCUUUUUUGAGACUGAGGUUCCUAAUUUGUAAAAUGGAAAUAAUAAUCAAACAUUAGCUAGCAUUCAUUGUGCACAUGCUAUAUGCUGGUGAUAAAUAAUUUAUACACCCUGUACCAUUUAAUCCUUAUAACAGUCCUGUGAGUUAGAAACUAUUAUUUCCAUUUUGCAGGUAAAAAAAACAGAUGCUAUAGUUUGGUUUGUUUGACCCUUCCAAAUCUAAUGUUGAAAUUUGAUCCCCAAUGUUGACCUAAUGGGAGGUGUUGGGGUCAUGGGGGCAGAUCCCUCAUGAAAUAGCUUGGUGCCCCCCUCACAGUAAUGAGUGAGUUCUCACUCAAUUUGUUCCUUUGAGAGCUGACUGUUCAAAAGAGUCUGGCAUCUCCCCCCUGUCUCUUUUGCUUCCUCUUUUGCCAUGUGAUCUCUGCAUAUGCCGGCUCUGCUUCACCUUCCACAGUGAGUAGAGGCAGCCCGACACCCUCCCAGAAGCAGAUGCUGGCACCGUGCUUAUACAGCCCAUGGAACAAACCUCUUUUCUUUAUAAAUUACCCAGCUUCAGGUAUUCUUUACAGCAACACAAAUGGACUAAGAUGCCAGACAUAAGGAGAGAAGUUAAAUAACUUUCCCCAAGUCACACAGCUACUAUGUGAUGGGGCUGGAAUGUGAAUCCCUGUAGUUUGAUAGCAGAGUGUAUGCCCUCAGUCACUGUAACACUGGUCUACAAAUGUAAAACACACCAGGCACACAGGAGGUGCCCAGUAAGUGGUAUCUCCUGCCAAAUCAAACCUUAUAAACAAUCACUAGGUGAUGCUUAAAAGGCCACAAACAAUUUCUUAGGAUGGGUCACAGAUCUAAUAACUGUAACUGAUUAUGAGCCUACUUUGUGCCAGGUGCUUCCUUUUGUAGUAGUUCAAUCAUUAUUAAAGAAAGUUAUUAUUAUCUUUAUUUUUCUAGUGAGACAAUUGAGGUUCACAAAGGCUAAGAAAUUUGUUUAGGAUUACCUAAAUAUCAAAUGAUGGAACUGAGGCUCAAAUCUGGGUCUGUCCUACAUAAAAGGCUGUGCUCUUUCUGCUCUGCUGCCUGAAUGUUUUUCAUGAUUAAACAUAUUUAUUACUUAUGAGGUGUCCCUGCCACUUUAGUUUUUACAAAUGCAUUUAUUUAUUUUUACUAAGGCAUAGUUGGCAAAUAAAAAUUAUAUGU